rnacentral:ncRNA from 1 species
CCGAGCGCACGACCGCUCGUCACCUACUUGGACACGCGUCACUGGCAACGGUGGGGUGUGAAGCUCCGAUGACAAUGUACCCCCGAGAAUCUCGGUGGCCCUCGCACGCGAGUGUAGGGUCAGAUACUGCCAGCAGCGAAGGUGGUAAAGGGG